rnacentral:lncRNA from 1 species
GGCUCACGACACCAGAACUCAAAGCAAGGCCACGCACAUACCAGAGUAGCAAGUAACGCUCUGUCCACCACGCAAAGUCGAGACCUAGGACUUAGCCCUCUCUUGCAACCUGCUUGUAUACCCCUACUACGAGCACUUUCGGAUGCAAGGCAAUACAGACCCCCAAUCUCACACUGGACGUAGGGCACCCUUGGCCCGAACCAGUAUAAAUUCUCUGUGUUUCACUUGCAUCACCAUCCGGGUUUAGGAAGACACGCAGAUUUAUUACUCGUUAGCGUCUAGACUCGACACUAUUAUUAACUGAGAACUAGAAACACUGAAGUUUAUUGUUCUAUUUUUAAAAGAAGUUGGCUCCAAUCAACCAAAGAAGAAAGGUCGUGGUACUGUUAAAGGAAAAACAUUAGUCAAUAAGAGAGUUAAGGAACGCAACCAAAAACUUUCAAUUGAAUUUUUUGAGACUCGUGCAGGACCUAUUGGACUGAAUAGCCGUGCAUUUGUUGAUGAGAUUGUAAUAUUUAUAAGGAAAUGGGCCCC